AUUGAACGCUGGCGGCAGGCUUAACACAUGCAAGUCGAGCGGGGUGAUGGUGCUUGCACUAUCACUUAGCGGCGGACGGGUGAGUAAUGCUUAGGAAUCUGCCUAUUAGUGGGGGACAACAUCUCGAAAGGGAUGCUAAUACCGCAUACGUCCUACGGGAGAAAGCAGGGGAUCACUUGUGACCUUGCCCUAAUAGAUGAGACUAAGUGGGAUUAGCUAGUUGGUGGGGUAAAGGCCUACCAAGGCGACGGUCUGUAGCGGGUCUGAGAGGAUGAUCCGCCACACUGGGACUGAGACACGGCCCAGGCUCCUACGGGAGGCAGCAGUGGGGAAUAUUGGACAAUGGGGGGAACCCUGAUCCAGCCAUGCCGCGUGUGUGAAGAAGGCCUUAUGGUUGUAAAGCACUUUAAGCGAGGAGGAAGCUCUUUUGGUUAAUACCCAGAAUGAGUGGACGUUACUCGCAGAAUAAGCACCGGCUAACUCUGUGCCAGCAGCCGCAGUAAGAC
rnacentral:rRNA from 1 species